rnacentral:rRNA from 1 species
UAGCUAGUUGGUGAGGUAACGGCCCACCAAGGCGACGAUCAGUAGCCGGACUGAGAGGUUGACCGGCCACAUUGGGACUGAGAUACGGCCCAGACUCCUACGGGAGGCAGCAGUGGGGAAUAUUGGGCAAUGGGCGCAAGCCUGACCCAGCAACGCCGCGUGAAGGAAGAAGGCUUUCGGGUUGUAAACUUCUUUUAAGUGGGAAGAGCAGAAGACGGUACCACUUGAAUAAGCCACGGCUAACUACGUGCCAGCAGCCGCGGUAAUACGUAGGUGGCAAGCGUUGUCCGGAUUUACUGGGUGUAAAGGGCGUGCAGCCGGGCACCAAGUCAGAUGUGAAAUCUCGGGGCUUAACCCUGAAACUGCAUUUGAAACUGUAUGUCUUGAGUGCCGGAGAGGUAAUCGGAAUUCCUUGUGUAGCGGUGAAAUGCGUAGAUAUAAGGAAGAACACCAGUGGCGAAGGCGGAUUACUGGACGGUAACUGACGGUGAGGCGCGAAAGCGUGGGGAGCGAACAGGAUUAGAUACCCUGGUUGUCCACGCUGUAAACGAUGGAUACUAGGUGUGCGGGGACUGACCCCCUGCGUGCCGCAGUUAACACAAUAAGUAUCCCACCUGGGGAGUACGAUCGCAAGGUUGAAACUCAAAGGAAUUGACGGGGGCCCGCACAAGCGGUGGAUUAUGUGGUUUAAUUCGAAGCAACGCGAAGAACCUUACCAGGUCUUGACAUCCUGCUAACGAAGUAGAGAUACAUUAGGUGCCCUUCGGGGAAAGCAGAGACAGGUGGUGCAUGGUUGUCGUCAGCUCGUGUCGUGAGAUGUUGGGUUAAGUCCCGCAACGAGCGCAACCCCUAUUGUUAGUUGCUACGCAAGAGCACUCUAGCGAGACUGCCGUUGACAAAACGGAGGAAGGUGGGGACGACGUCAAAACAUCAUGCCCCUUAUGACCUGGGCUACACACGUAAUACAAUGGCGGUCAACAAAGGGAUGCAAAGCCGCGAGGCAGAGCGAACCCCAAAAAGCCGUCCCAGUUCGGAUCGCAGGCUGCAACCCGCCUGCGUGAGGUCGGAAUCGCUAGUAAUCGUGGGUCAGCAUACCACGGUGAAUACGUUCCCGGGCCUUGUACACACCGCCCGUCACACCAUGAGAGUCGGGAACACCCGAAGUCCGUAGCCUAACCGCAAGGAGGGCGCGGCCGAAGGUGGGUUCGAUAAUUGGGGUGAAGUCGUAACAAGGUAGCCGUUCGAGAACGAGCGGCUG